AGCCCCAGGCCCAAUUCUCUAAAUGUUAGCCCACAUCCCAGUGGCCCAAAAUCAAACCACCGACCUGACCCAACUCUUAGUUCCCCUCCUUCUUUAAUCAACAACAACCAGCAUACAUACAGUGUAUACACACGUACAGAAAUCACGCGUACAACUCCUUCAGCGUACAGCCUCAACAAACGACAACAUCAAUCAAAAAACACCAUUAAAAGUCCGAAUCCAACAACCAAAUCGACCUGUUCUCAAACCGAAAAUGACGUGUUCUUAUCUCCCUACUCUUAUUUCUCAGAAAAAACCCUCGAAUCUUCUAGAGCGAGGGUUAGUUGGCUCAUCUAACAUCUACAUUCUGCAAAUUUUGGGAUAAUGGUACGGAUUAGGUACGUAUUUGGGCGUUUUUCAUUGGUUGGAAAAAGGAUUUGGUUUUUCCUAUUUUUUAAUUGCUCCACCGGUUGCCAUUUUCUCAAGAAAUCCAAAAAAAGUGUUGAUCUGGUUUUGGAAUUAAAUUCAAAAUUUUCAACGGGUGGUUUCCUUUUUUACCCUAAUUUGUCUUCUAUAAAGAGCUCGGUUAAGCUGUGAGAAUGGGGGAUUUUUUUCUCUCUUUUUCCCUUCUGGAUUGAAAAUUUUAGGUUUGAAAAGAGGGGGAAAAUCUUAGAGACAGAAGGGAAUUUUUUUUCCUGGGUAUGAACUAUUUGAGAAGAAAGACAAGAAAGAAAGAGAAGGAAGAAAGAAAAAGAAAGAAAACUCUUGAGAAAAUUCUGUCUUGAGUGGAAAUUAUGUUCUUGUUCAUCGGCUAAAUUAGAGUUUCAGUUGACGGUGAAGAAGUUUCCUGGUGGUGGUGAUCUCCAUACUGAUUUGUCGUCUCGUUUUGCUGCUCUCUAAAAGAGUCCAUACGGGCUCUUUAACUUUGCAUUACGUAAUGGGCCAAUAUGGCCCAUCUUUCGAGUCAAGCCCCGAAAGGAGGUCCAAACCGAGUUACAUGGCAUGCAAGUGCAAGAGGUGAAAGAAGGAGAAUGGAUCAAAGUUUGCUAGGAGACUUGAAAGUCUCAUUUCUUCAUUUAUUUCAUUCGUAUUGUUGUCUUUACUUAUUUAUUCUUUUAUUUAUUUCGUUGUUUGUUCAUUUGGGCCUCGAAGCCAAAGUUGUAAAUUUAAUACAGGUGGAACAAAUUUUGGGCCAACGGACCUGAAAAAAUAGUUUAGGACUGGUUAUGGGCCAAAAACCCAAUUAGACUAGGACAUGUCUUAUUGAUUUGGGCCUAAUGAUCUAAAUCCCUUACAUCC